rnacentral:rRNA from 1 species
CAGUAGCCGCGGUAAUACGGAGGGUGCAAGCGUUAAUCGGAAUUACUGGGCGUAAAGCGCACGCAGGCGGUCUGUCAAGUCGGAUGUGAAAUCCCUGAGCUUAACUUAGGAAUUGCAUUUGAUACUGGGAAGCUAGAGUAUGGGAGAGGAUGGUAGAAUUCCAGGUGUAGCGGUGAAAUGCGUAGAGAUCUGGAGGAAUACCGAUGGCGAAGGCAGCCAUCUGGCCUAAUACUGACGCUGAGGUACGAAAGCAUGGGGAGCAAACAGGAUUAGAUACCCCAGUAGUCCCUGUCUCUUAUAC